UACGAAGGGUGCAAGCGUUAAUCGGAAUUACUGGGCGUAAAGCGUGCGUAGGCGGUGAUUUAAGUCUGCUGUGAAAUCCCCGGGCUCAACCUGGGAAUGGCAGUGAAUACUGGAUCGCUAGAGUGUGAUAGAGGAUGGUGGAAUUCCCGGUGUAGCGGUGAAAUGCGUAGAGAUCGGGAGGAACAUCAGUGGCGAAGGCGGCCAUCUGGAUCAACACUGACGCUGAGGCACGAAAGCGUGGGGAGCAAACAGG
rnacentral:rRNA from 1 species